CAGUCGCCGCGGUAAUACGUAGGUGGCAAGCGUUGUCCGGAAUUAUUGGGCGUGAAGGGCUCGCAGGCGGUUUCUUAAGUCUGAUGUGAAAGCCCCCGGCUCAACCGGGGAGGGUCAUUGGAAACUGGGAAACUUGAGUGCAGAAGAGGAGAGUGGAAUUCCACGUGUAGCGGUGAAAUGCGUAGAGAUGUGGAGGAACACCAGUGGCGAAGGCGACUCUCUGGUCUGUAACUGACGCUGAGGAGCGAAAGCGUGGGGAGCGAACAGGAUUAGAUACCCCGGUAGUCCCUGUCUCUUAUAA
rnacentral:rRNA from 1 species